rnacentral:misc_RNA from 1 species
AAGUCGUAACAAGGUCUCCGUUGGUGAACCAGCGGAGGGAUCAUUAGAGGGUCGUCAGGCCUCCUACUGUUCUUUACCAAACCCGUGUACCUAUUGCCGGAUAUUGUCUCUGCCUCGGCGGCGGCCCCAGGGGGGGCUUCUGCCUGCCCGCCGGUUAUCCCGGCGGGCGGGUGUCGCCGGCGGCAACCUAACCACCAAACAUGAGAACAUUAUAUGAAACAAAACCUAUUACAACCUGCAACAACGGAUCUCUUGGCUCCG